AUCUCCUGGUCCAGCCUGAUAUCUCCCUGACUGACUCAAUGGGAGGGGUCUCCAGGGGCCACCAGGGGCCCGAGGUGUUCAGGGACUACAGCUUCACCAUCACCUGCUCCACUCAGCCACAGUACCCAGGAGGCUCCUUCCUGCUCACGUUCACCGGCUCCAACAGAACCCAGACCCAGCCAGCUGUCAAUCACUCUGCUGCCUUCCUCUUCCCUGCAGCAGAUGACUCCCACCAAGGGAACUACAGAUGUGUUUAUGAGAAUUAUGUUUUCUCUCAUAACUUCUCCUCUGAGAGUGGGCUCCUCACCCUCACCAUCACAGCCUCUCCUCUGCCAGCCUUCAUCAUCAGACACGUUGUAGUGCUGCUGAUCCUACUGACAGCCAUCACCACCUCCUACCUGUACUACAAGCCCACCAGGAGGCAGAAGAGAGUGAACAGGGUGAGCAGCAUGGAUCUUUAUGUCAAUGCCAUGGAGACGGUCUCUCUGAGCUCCAGAGCUGAAGCUGGACCAGGAGAGGAGAGAGCAGCCCAGGGGACGGAGUAGGAGUAGAAUGAACCUGAUCCUACAUGCUGAUCUUAGGUCAGUUUUGUGUUUUAAAUGGAUGGUCAGCAGUGGACUGGUGUUUAAAAUGUGGUGACAAACCUGAAGUGGUUCUAAUUUUAAUAACAAGUUCAGAAUUAGUUCAUCUUUCUAGAACCUUGGAAGAAAUCUAAAAGGAGUGACUGCAACCACCAUUAUUACUUUUAGUUUGGUUUUUACCACCAGAGAAACAUGGGGUUCUGGGUAACAUGGGGUUUGGGGUAACAUGGGGUUCUGGGUAACAUGGGGUUCUGGGUAACAUGGGGUUCUGGGGUAACAUGGGGUUCUGGGUAACAUGGGGUUCUGGGUAACAUGGGGUUCUGGGUAACAUGGGGUUCUGGGUAACAUGGGGUUUUGAUUAUUUUAAGAGAGUUGCUUAAUUACGUCUGUUUUGUGUUCCAGAAUGUAUUACUAUCUUAUUUAGUGUCUCUUAGAUUCUUUAUCUUAUUUAGUGUCUCUUAGAUUCUUUAUCUUAUUUAGUGUCUCUUAGAUUCUUAAUCUUAUUUAGUCUCUUAGAUUCUUUAUCUUAUUUAGUGUCUCUUAGAUUCUUAAUCUUAUUUAGUCUCUUAGAUUCUUUAUCUUAUUUAGUGUCUCUUAGAUUCUUUAUCUUAUUUAGUGUCUCUUAGAUUCUUUAUCUUAUUUAGUGUCUCUUAGAUUCUUUAUCUUAUUUAGUGUCUCUUAGAUUCUUUAUCUUGAAGUGUUUCCAUUAUUAGUCCAUGUAUUAUUAUAAUCAUCUGUUCAUUCUUUGUAUUUAGAUUUUUUUUAAAUAAAGGGGGUUGUUGUUGUUUACCUCUCAUGUUAUUGAUUAUAAAUGUUAUAAUAUUGAUUAUGAUGUAGAUUGUUAUGAUGCUAGUAGUAUAUAGAACAUGAUGUUAUUCUCUUAAGAUCUGUGUGUUACAGAGAAAGUAUAGUAUUUAGUGCAGGUCUGAUAUACAUUAGAUUGUGUGGAUAUGUUCCAGAUGAAGACCUGUUGUUCUCUAAACUGUCAUGAAUCACUCAAUGCUUUUAAUAAACUCACAGGCUGUCAGUCUUGUGUGAUUCCCCUCCAGUUUUUUAUUUCACGGUGGUCAAGGGGUUAUUGAUC
ensembl:lncRNA